rnacentral:tRNA from 1 species
AGCGGGGUAGAGGAAUUGGUCAACUCAUCAGGCUCAUGACCUGACGACUGCAGGUUCGAAUCCUGUCCCCGCCU